CCAAUAGCGUAUAUUAAAGUUGUUGCAGUUAAAAAGCUCGUAGUUGAAUUUCGGAAUCGACGGAUUGGUCGCGCCUUCGGUGUGUACUGGUCUUGCCGGUUUCUCCCUUCUGACGAACCACGAUGUCAUUAAUUUGGUGUCGUGGGGAAUCAGGGCUGUUACUUUGAAAAAAUUAGAGUGUUUAAAGCAGGCAUUAGCUUGAAUAUAUUAGCAUGGAAUAAUGAAAUAGGACGUUUGAUCUUAUUUUGUUGGUUUCUAGGAUCGACGUAAUGAUUAAUAGGGAUAGUUGGGGGCAUUAGUAUUCAAUUGUCAGAGGUGAAAUUCUUGGAUUUAUUGAAGACUAACUACUGCGAAAGCAUUUGCCAAGGAUGUUUUCAUUAAUCAAGAACGAAAGUUAGGGGAGCGAAGACGAUCAGAUACCGUCGUAGUCUUAACCAUAAACUAUGCCGACUAGGGAUCGGAUGAUGUUAAUUUUUUAAUGACUCAUUCGGCGCCUUACG
rnacentral:rRNA from 1 species